rnacentral:lncRNA from 1 species
GGACAUUUGAGUGACGUUGAGUCAUUUCAACCUAAUGAACUGAUUGGAAGCUGACUCGCCCCGAGACCUGCUCUCUUCCCAUGCGCCUGUUGGGUAACCACCAGAGAAGACUGCUCAGGCAUGAAUCUUCUUCCACAUCAUCCGGUGCCUCCCUUACCUGCCCAGCUCGAAGGUCAGGAGCCAUCCUCCAUGUAUCUCGGUCCCUCAAUUCUCCAGAAAGGAGGGUGUGCUGCCUCAGAUGACAAGACAGAUCCUAAUCUCAACCACCCUGGCCUUCUCCACUGCAGUGGCCAGAACUUUUCCAUCCCCAAUGAGAUUGCAAUAGUUCUGUAGCGCCCCUGGGUCUACACUUGCUCUCCUGUCACCCAGCAUGCACACACAAGCAAGAAUGCUCUGUCCAUUGUUGUGCCUCUCCUCAACUUGAAAUUCUUAUGAAAAUUUCCUGCUUCACUUUACAUGGAAUGUGGACGCCUCACAUACCAAAAGUAGUUUACAGUGGCAACCUCCAUUUUCUGGAAGCCUAAGUUUACUGAUAUCUUGCCCACCUCCAUGGGAGCAGACCUGCCCACUCCAGUACUUCUUGCUUAUCAGAACGUCUGUCUGGUGUUGAAUGACAGUUCCAGUUAUCUUGCUAAGUCACUGAUUUGUGGAUGAAAUCUCCUCACAGUGGACCCACUCUGCUCAAGAGCCAGAACCUGUUCCUCCAGACGGCCCAUUACGGCUUCAUGUAUGAGAUAACACUGAAAUCUGACCACCAGUGACUUAGGACCAGACAUUUAUGAACAUAGACUCAAGUUCAGGUUUUAAGGCACAAAUCCAUUGUCUUUGGUACAACGUUUGGGGCUACUCUCAAUGUGGUGGAUUGAAUAUGUUUGGCACAGGGAGUGGCACUCUUAGGAGGUGUGGCCUUGUUGGAGGAAGUGUGUCACUGUGGGGGUGGACUUUGAGGUUCUUAUGUUCAAGCUCUGCCCAGUGUGGAAUGGGAGCUUCCUCCUGACUUUCUGUUGAUAGGCGUCUCCUUCUGCUGCCUUUGGAUGAACUUGCAGAUGGAUGUAGAACUCUCAGCUCCUUCCCCAGCACAGUGUCUGCCUGGAUGCUGCCAUGCUUUCUGCCAUGAUGAUAAUAGACUGAACCUCUGAAACUGUAAUCCAGCCCCAAUGAAAUGUUUUCCUUUCUAAGACUUGCCUUGAUCAUGGUGUCUCUUCACAGCAAUAAAACCCAAACUAAGACGCUUGAUAUUAUGGAC